AGCAGCCGCGGUAAUUCCAGCUCCAAUAGCGUAUAUUAAAGUUGUUGCAGUUAAAAAGUUCGUAGUUGAAUUUCGGGGUUAGUAGGUUGGUCAUGCCUCUGGUAUGUACUGGUCUCACUGAUUCCUCCUUCCUUAUGAACCGUAAUGCCAUUAAUUUGGUGUUGCGGGGAAUUUGGACUGUUACUUUGAAAAAAUUUAGAGUGUUUAAAGCAAGCUAACGCUUGAAUACAUUAGCAUGGAAUAAUGAAAUAGGACGUUCGAUCUUAUUUUGUUGGUUUCUAGGAUUGACGUAAUGAUUAAUAGGGAUAGUUGGGGGCAUUAGUAUUCAAUUGUCAGAGGUGAAAUUCUUGGAUUUAUUGAAGACUAACUACUGCGAAAGCAUUUGCCAAGGAUGUUUUCAUUAAUCAAGAACGAAAGUUAGGGGAUCGAAGACGAUCAGAUACCGUCGUAGUCUUAACCAUAAACUAUGCCGACUAGGGAUCGGAUGAUGUUAAUUUUUUUAAUGACUCAUUCGGCGCCU
rnacentral:rRNA from 1 species